CCAUGUAAAACUUAUUGUUAAAAAAGUUACAUAAACUAAAUGAUAAUAUAGUCUUCCUUAAUGAAAUAGAGAAAAUUUCAAUAAAGAACUAACCUGAUAGCUAACCAAACAAAGAUUCCAUAGAUGUCAUCACGAGAAACAAAUUUGAAAAUUGAAUAACAAAUAGAGUUAGUUGUACCUUGAUGGAAAUUAAUUAUUUCAUUGCUUUGAACUCGAAAACGUGACUGACCGCGGACGAAAACUCAAAUCGGCACCGGAAAACGCGAAACCAAAAUAACCUCAACUCACUCAAUCAAACUCCAUGGUUUUAACAUAGGAAAUCAGAAGAAGAAGAAGAUAGAAUUUGAAAUGAAAAUCAAAGAAAUUUGAAUCGAAAAUCAAAGUAGGAAAAUCAGUUCAUUCCCAUCCUCCAUUUCUCUGUUGCUCGCUUUGUUUCUGGAUCUUUUUAUUUUAUUUUGUUCUUCCAUUUUUGUGCGCUUCCGUGUAUAUGGUCGCCGGUUUUCGGCUUGUUCUUAUGGUGAGAGAGUGGAUAGUUGGAGGAUGGUUGAUGGUUGAUGGCGGGCUGGUUGCUGUGAGGUUUAGGGGUGUUUGGUAAAGAAGAAGCCAUUGAAAUGGGCUUUUCUUCUCUAAAGAAGAAGAUGAAAUCCAGCACGGGGGAAGGGAGGGGGAUAUUGUUUAUUAUAAGGGAUAGGGGUGGAGAAGAAGCUGAAGGUGAGGGGUCUUCGAUGGGUGUUCUCUUCGUGUUCGUACGGUUGGUUUUUGGAUCUAGAGUAAUUAAGAAGAUGAACUUGGGGGGGGGGUCUUCUGCUAAUAAAAUGGCGCCCUCAUCUCCCUAGAUUUUAAGUCUAUGAAUUUUUAUAGUCUAAGUCUAGGGUUUUAGGGGUAUUGGGCUUCGGUUUU
rnacentral:lncRNA from 1 species